rnacentral:rRNA from 1 species
UGGGGAAUUUUGGACAAUGGGGGCAACCCUGAUCCAGCGACGCCGCGUGGAGGACGAAGGUCUUCGGAUUGUAAACUCCUUUUGAAGGGGAUGAAUGCAUACGUGAAUAACGUAGGGUGACAGUACUCUUCGAAUAAGCCACGGCUAACUUCGUGCCAGCAGCCGCGGUAAUACGAAGGUGGCAAGCGUUACUCGGAAUUACUAGGCGUAAAGCGCAGGUAGGCGGUUCGGAAAGUCUGUUGUGAAAGCUCCCGGCUUAACUGGGAGAGGGCAAUGGAUACUACCGGACUUGAGUGUGGUAGAGGAUUGUGGAAUUCCCGGUGUAGCGGUGAAAUGCGUAGAGAUCGGGAGGAAUACCAAUGGCGAAAGCAGGCAUCUGGGCCAUUACUGACGCUGAGCUGCGAAAGCUAGGGGAGCAAACA